GAUGAAGAACGUAGCAAAAUGCGAUAAGUAAUGUGAAUUGCAGAAUUCAGUGAAUCAUCGAAUCUUUGAACGCACAUUGCGCCCGCCAGUAUUCUGGCGGGCAUGCCUGUUCGAGCGUCAUUUCAACCCUCAAGCCCUCGGGUUUGGUGUUGGGGAUCGGCGAGCCUUUCUGGCAAGCCGGCCCCGAAAUCUAGUGGCGGUCUCGCUGCAGCCUCCAUUGCGUAGUAGUAAAACCCUCGCAACUGGAACGCGGCGCGGCCAAGCCGUUAAACCCCCAACUUCUGAAUGUUGACCUCGGAUCAGGUAGGAAUACCCGCUGAACUUAAGCAUAUCAAUAAGCGGAGGU
rnacentral:misc_RNA from 1 species